rnacentral:lncRNA from 1 species
GUGGAAACUAGGUGAGAUGGGAUGACACAAAACAGUGCACAUAAGAACUUGCUGGCCACUAUAAGGUCCUCUGGAGGACCUAGUCUGAAAUGAACCCUCCCCAGACUUCUAUAUAGACCAAGAGCAGAAGCAGAGCCUGGAAAGUCACUGCAGAGAGACAGCUGAGGAGGAGGUACCAGGGUGGCAGUGACCGGUGACAAAGGGGGCUCAGAGGUACGCUUUUAACGUGCAGCCAGCAUGUUUGGCCAACGACUGGGUGCAGGAAGUGAAGAGAACACAGGACCCAAGAAUAACCAUGACCUUUUCUUGUCCUGAGAUGGAAGGUCUCACCAAGACCUCAGACAAGGAAAAACCCACUGGAGAAGGUUCAGAGGAGACCUGAUGUGAACGCUGUUGUAGUUGAAAUUGACAGUCACACCCAUAGCACAGGAUGGCUACCCAGCUGAGGCACAAAGGCUAGAGUUCCAAAUGGGAAUGACAGUUGGGGGUCAGGAGCACAGUGGAAGUAGGCACAGGGACCCAGCUCUAUAUUUCCAUCCCAUGCUGUCCCAAGACUCACAACAAGUUCCUGUGACCUCUCAAACUAUGCGAGGGGCCGGCGAACACGUGAGCAGAGAAGGUUCUGUGUGAAAAGUGUCCAAGUAGACAUUUGUGACUGAGAUGAGGGCUCAAAUGCUGUGUCCCUGCAUAUGGAGGAACAGAGGGCUCUGGCCUUCAGAAGACACCACCAACACUGUGAGAAGGGGCCCAGAGGAGCGGCCACACCAUUCCCGGAGCUUGCCGAGAGACUCCGACACUGGUGUUAGUGGGAAUUCUGAAGCUCCCGGCACAUGAGCUCAUGCGUGGCCGAGUGCCCAGCCCUAUGCUUCACGGCUUUGGAAUGUGUUUUCUAGGCUGGCCUGCCUUGCUCCCCCCAUCUCACCACAGCAAGGGCUGCUGUCUGCUCUCGGCUCUUCAAAGCCAGGCAAAUUCCAGAAAGGCUAUUAAUUUGCACUGGUGUGCGAUGCUGUCCCAGGCAAAAUUCUCCCUGGG